CCAGACUCCUACGGGAGGCAGCAGUGGGGAAUAUUGCACAAUGGGGGGAACCCUGAUGCAGCGACGCCGCGUGAGCGAAGAAGUAUCUCGGUAUGUAAAGCUCUAUCAGCAGGGAAGAAAAUGACGGUACCUGACUAAGAAGCUCCGGCUAAAUACGUGCCAGCAGCCGCGGUAAUACGUAUGGAGCAAGCGUUAUCCGGAUUUACUGGGUGUAAAGGGAGCGCAGGCGGCGCGCCAAGUCUGGUGUGAAACCCCGGGGCUUAACCCCGGAACUGCUUUGGAAACUGUGCAGCUAGAGUGCAGGAGAGGUAAGUGGAAUUCCUAGUGUAGCGGUGAAAUGCGUAGAUAUUAGGAGGAACACCAGUGGCGAAGGCGGCUUACUGGACUGUAACUGACGUUGAGGCUCGAAAGCGUGGGGAGCAAACAGGAUUAGAUCCCCUCGUA
rnacentral:rRNA from 1 species